UGGGAUAAAAGAUAUAUAAAGACUUUUUAUCCCACUUUUAGAUUUGGCACCUCAAAUAUGCAGCAAAUAUUUUUUUAGACAAGGGCUCUGUUUGGUAGAAAGUUAAAAAAAAAAAUAUUAAAGGCAAAAAAAUAAUUUCAAGAUUCGAUUUUUAUGAGUUUGCCAAACAGGGGAUAAAUUUUUUAGGGAAACCUUUUAUCCCGGUUAUUAGUUAAAAACCGGGAUAAAAGGGUUUAGUGUGAAACCCUUUUAUCCCGGUUUUAACUAAAUAACCGGGAUAAAAAGUCAUCCCUAAAAUCCCAAACCUCAACCAGCUCGAUCGACAUAUCAGACGUACAACCCAGAAACCCUCUCGCCCAAACCCUCACGCAAACCCUCUCGCCCAAACCCUCUCGUCUAAAUCCUCGCCCAAACCCAAAAAUUAACCCCAGCCCAAACUCCAGAAUUCCAUCCACUCCAAUCGACAUUGACGGCGCCGUAGAAGCUGAUAACGCCUCCCGUUUGGACUUUAUUCCCAGCAAGUGCAAAUACUUAAUUGUUGAAGCCUUGUCAGUCGGCUCAUGGGGAAUUUUUCAGCUUUGGAACAUUUCUGAUGGUAUAGUUUAAAGGAAUUUUUAUGCUAACGGCAAAAGGCAUGCUGAGUAAUUGGGAACAAGUGGGACACUUACCUUGAUCUUCUCCAGGCUGAUUAUUCUGAAGGGUGAGUAGAAUUUGAAGUUUAUGAUAUAUGUAUGUACUUCUAUUGAGCCUUGUUUUGCUAGAAUAGUAGAAAGGCUUACAAUGUUAGAACCACACCACUUAGGUAGAACUCACCCCAAAAGACUAGCUUUAGAGAGAUGAGAAUACAGUCAAUUUGAGAUCCUAACAUUCAACAACACUUAAUCUUCUCUUAUUGCUGUAAUGAUAUUGUAAUGUGUUUAUCAUAGUAAAAAUUAAUGUGUUUAUAUAAGUUUCAGCUUCCUAGGUUAAUCAAUUGGAUUAAUUAGAAGAUGCAAGAAAUCAAUCCAAGCAUCUUUACUUGUGCUAUAAGUGCAAGUAUUUACUAUAUUUGAAGGUUAGGAAUGAAAUUUUUUGCAACUUUAAAAUUCUUUUAGUUUUUGUUGUAGGUGAGAGACAUAAAGAGAGAUGUAUGUAAUAAAAUGAUAUAGUUGAAUAAAAAAAAAAGAUAAAUAAAAAAAAAGAUAAAUACCAAAAAGUAGUAGUAUAGGUCUUAGAAAUAAUUUUAGUGAUCAAGUCUAACUAUCAAAAAUUAACAUUUAUUUUUCUUAUGG